CGGACGGGUGAGUAAUGUCUGGGAAACUGCCUGAUGGAGGGGGAUAACUACUGGAAACGGUAGCUAAUACCGCAUAACGUCGCAAGACCAAAGAGGGGGACCUUCGGGCCUCUUGCAAUCGGAUGUGCCCAGAUGGGAUUAGCUAGUAGGUGGGGUAACGGCUCACCUAGGCGACGACCCCUAGCUGGUCUGAGAGGAUGACCAGCCACACUGGAACUGAGACACGGUCCAG
rnacentral:rRNA from 1 species